UACGUAGGGACCAAGCGUUGUUCGGAUUUACUGGGCGUAAAGGGCGCGUAGGCGGCGUGUUAAGUCACUUGUGAAAUCUCUAAGCUUAACUUAGAACGGUCAAGUGAUACUGAUGUGCUAGAGUGCAGAAGGGGCAACCGGAAUUCUUGGUGUAGCGGUGAAAUGCGUAGAUAUCAGGAGGAACACCUGUGGUGUAGACAGCUUACUGGACCAUAACUGACGCUGAGGCACGAAAGCGUGGGUAGCAAACAGG
rnacentral:rRNA from 1 species